AAAACUCUAUCUUUCCCUCAAAAAACCAAUCCAUGAGGAAGAGCUUAGCCCUUUAACACAGUUCAUAGCACACUCACCUAUACAUCAAUGAAACUCUCCCCAUAAAAUAAAAAAUUCCACCAAAUGAAAAAUUCCUUUUUAUAUUCAGUUUCUAGACAAAACAUAUAGAUACACAUAAUUCUGUAUCUAUACCCUAUUGCUUCAAGAAACUCCGUAGCCAUAAAACAAUAAAAGAUUCAUAUUUUCUUCUUCUCUUUCUUCAAUCAUCACUCUUUUCUUGUUCCAAUCCAUUCAAUCUGUCAUUUUCACUCAAAUUUUUCUAAAUACCCUUUUCAAGAAAUCUUCCUUUAAAAAUGGCUUCAAUUACACCCUUAUCUCAAUCACAACCCCUUUAUGAAAAAACCCAAUUUACACUACUAAAAACACCUCAAAAUCAGUUUUGCUCAAUACCCUUUUCAAGAUUCACUCAAAGUUCAAAACUUUCAUUGAAAAACUCAAGAAUGACUGUUGUUUCAGCUACGACUGCUGCAGAGAAAUCCAAUAAAAGGUAUCCUGGUGAAUCAUUGAAAAAAUCAAGAAUGGUUGUUGUUUCAGCUACAACUGCUGCUGAGAAAUCCAAUAAAAGGUAUCCUGGUGAAGCUAAAGGGUUUGUUGAGGAGAUGAGAUUUGUGGCUAUGAAAUUGCAUACUAAGGAUCAAUCUAAGGAAGGUGAAAAAG
rnacentral:lncRNA from 1 species